CGUUUUCGGGUAGACUGUUUUGGCCUGAACCUCAAUAGCGUCGUCCCGGAGUACAAAAUUACCGAAGAUGAAUACUUUUUUUGUUGUUAAAAUACUCUCAAAAUAAGGUUUUCUGUCUUUUCGUGAUUGCAGAAUCUUGGUUACCCGGUCAAUGAAAUUUUGGAAAAAUCGAACGCUUGUUAUUAUUGCGGAGGUUGUGACAACCAGCACGAUUUUCUUUCUGUUUGCUAUUACCACACGAUGCAUAUAAAUAUAUCACGACUGAUAUUGACGUACAUGUACAUGUAUGUGCAAUUUUAAAAAGUCACUUCGAUGAUCUCUUUUUCGCAAGGGAUUUCUGGAAGGGUCGAACUAGACGCGUAUUUGUUCGUCAACUCUUGCAAAUGAUUCGUAGUACUUUAACAUACAAUUUACCAAUAGUAUUUAUAGAUCAUCCGUGUAAGUUAAGGCCAUAGCAUUUAUGGGGAAGAAAUAAUACCGUACAUUAGUAUCGGUAGUUGCCGAUCGCCGUCGUGUCGCGCAUCAUACACCCACAAAACGGGUCCGAGCUAUCACAAUGGCCUUUGUAUUUGAGUGGGGAAACCCAAUGAUGUCACAGCGAUGAGUCAUCGAUGGACGACAAACAUGAUGACCAGUCCACUAGUCCAGACUUGCCCAGUCUCUCACUCCGAAUACGCGUGCGGUGUUCUCGAAUGUUCCCAAGCACAUUCCCAGUGACGUCACAGCGGUGAGUCAUCAAUGGACGACAAACAAGAAGACCAGUCUGGACUUGUCCGAUCGUCCAGUCCGAAUUCGUGGUGUUUUUACACUCUCUAUGUGCACAAUCGAUCGGCGGUGUGAACAUUCAACGUCAGCUGAAUGUUUGGGGUGCAUCGACAAAACGACAAGGUGACCGCAGUAUACGUCCGCGUUUUUAUCUCAUCCAGUCCCGAAUCUCCUGAACGAUCGCACAAAUUCAAGGGUCCACCUCUCAUCAGCAUGUCCACCACUGUGAUCAAAGGAAGAAGCGGAGUUAUAGUGCACACUCAAGUGACAUAAGACAUUUAGGCUCCAAAACAAGUCAUUCAAGAAUCGCAUUAAAAUUUAUUUGUCAUUGUUAUAUAUCUUAAAUUUUAAUCGAAUUUAUUUCGUUCUUUUGUAAAAGAAUUGAGUUGAGUUACAUGUACUAGUGCAUAGGCCUUUGAGAUAAACCACGCCAACGUAAAAUCGUUGUGUAUCUCGCUAAAGAAAAA